CUAAAUAUCACACCAACCAACGGUAGAUCACAAACAGAGAACAACAACCACAUGAAUGCUCCUCAUAAGCCAUACUCAUUCUCAAAACAAAACCAUCAACAACAUUUUCAUCUUCCAUUUUCACUCUUUUUUUUUUCUUCUUUGUCAUUGCUACCAUUAUUAUUAGUAGUAGUUGAUCAUGGCCACUGUUACUACACAGGCUUCGGCUGCCAUUUUCCGGCCAUGCGGUUUGAAAUCGAGGUUUCUUGCCGGUUCUUCUGGUUAUAAAUUGAAUAGAGAAGUGGCUUUUAGGCCAGUUAAGUGUUCACCUUCUGCUUCUUUUAAGGUUUUUGCCAAGAAAGGAGAGUGGUUGCCUGGCUUGGCCUCCCCUGGUUACCUCACUGGCAGGUAUGUAAAUCUAAUAGACACUAUGUACACUGGACACCGGACACAACACUGACAUAGAUAUGUGCAUGCUACACAAGUGAUAAUUUGAGAAAAUUAUAGUGAUUGAAUGUAACCAUGUGUCAGUAUUAUGUUAGUGUUGGACAACAGAUACACUUACAAUGUUCAUACUUACACAUAAUUCAAUUGUUAAUGAUUGUUAAAAGUCACACAUCGAUAUGACAUAUCACAUGUCAUAUGGUGUGAACAUGAGUUUAUAAUUAGAGAUAAUUAUUCAUAUAUUAUUCAAAGGUAUCCGACUCUUCUAAAAUGAGUAAAGUAUAAAUCAAGUAAAUCAAUAUUUGUUAAUUCAACAAACCCGUGUUUGUUAUGAUGUACCUGUAAUGUUCGCCUUUAAUUUAUUAAUCAAUAUAUAGUUGAUAAUACUCACUUUACGCCUUAAGUUGAGUUGUUCAUUUUAGAAUAGCCGGAUCAUUUUAGAAUAUUAACCUAGUGGUUAACUUUGUAAUUUGUUUGUUUUGUGUUAUAAUUAGUCUUCCCGGAGACAAUGGAUUCGAUCCAUUGGGACUCGCAGAGGAUCCAGAGAACUUGAAAUGGUUUGUUCAAGCCGAGCUUGUAAACGGACGUUGGGCCAUGUUAGGUGUUGCAGGGAUGUUACUUCCUGAGGUCUUAACCAGCAUUGGAAUCAUCAAUGUUCCAAAAUGGUAUGAUGCAGGGAAAGAAGAAUACUUUGCUUCAUCAUCAACACUCUUUGUGAUUGAGUUCAUUUUGUUCCAUUAUGUUGAGAUUAGAAGAUGGCAAGACAUUAAGAACCCUGGUAGCGUUAACCAAGAUCCUAUCUUUAAGCAAUACAGCUUGCCAAAGGGUGAGGUUGGUUACCCUGGUGGAAUUUUUAACCCUUUGAACUUUGCACCAACUUUGGAAGCUAAAGAGAAGGAAAUUGCCAAUGGUAAAUGCUUUUUACUUUCUAGUUAUAGCUUAAAUAUUGCUUAAAACUCUUUUUUAUCGAGUCAGUCAAUCAAUCAUAAUUAUUA
rnacentral:lncRNA from 1 species